rnacentral:rRNA from 1 species
GACGUAGGGCGCGAGCGUUUGUCCGGAUUUAUUGGGCGUAAAGAGCUCGUAGGCGGCGUGUCGCGUCGGAUGUGAAAGCCCGGGGCUUAACUCCGGGUCUGCAUUCGAUACGGGGCAUGCUUGAGUGUGGUAGGGGAGAUCGGAAUUCCUGGUGUAGCGGUGAAAUGCGCAGAUAUCAGGAGGAACACCGGUGGCGAAGGCGGAUCUCUGGGCCAUUACUGACGCUGAGGAGCGAAAGCGUGGGGAGCGAACAGG